rnacentral:sRNA from 1 species
ACUAGGCAUGGUGGUGCAUGCCUGUAAUCCCAGUGGCUCAGGAGGCUGAGGCAGGAGAAUCACAAGUUCAAAGCCAGCCUUGGCAAUUUAAUGGGGCCCUGAGAAACUUGGUAAGACCCUGUCUCAA